rnacentral:rRNA from 1 species
UCCAACCUGCCCACCACUUGGGGAUAACCUUGCGAAAGUAAGACUAAUACCCAAUGACGUCUCUAGAAGACAUCUGAAGGAGAUUAAAGAUUUAUCGGUGAUGGAUGGGGAUGCGUCUGAUUAGCUUGUUGGCGGGGUAACGGCCCACCAAGGCGACGAUCAGUAGGGGUUCUGAGAGGAAGGUCCCCCACAUUGGAACUGAGACACGGUCCAAACUCCUACGGGAGGCAGCAGUGAGGAAUAUUGGUCAAUGGGCGAGAGCCUGAACCAGCCAAGUAGCGUGCAGGAUGACGGCCCUAUGGGUUGUAAACUGCUUUUAUAAGGGAAUAAAGUGAGUCUCGUGAGACUUUUUGCAUGUACCUUAUGAAUAAGGACCGGCUAAUUCCGUGCCAGCAGCCGCGGUAAUACGGAAGGUCCGGGCGUUAUCCGGAUUUAUUGGGUUUAAAGGGAGCGUAGGCCGGAGAUUAAGCGUGUUGUGAAAUGUAGACGCUCAACGUCUGCACUGCAGCGCGAACUGGUUUCCUUGAGUACGCACAAAGUGGGCGGAAUUCGUGGUGUAGCGGUGAAAUGCUUAGAUAUCACGAAGAACUCCGAUUGCGAAGGCAGCUCACUGGAGCGCAACUGACGCUGAAGCUCGAAAGUGCGGGUAUCGAACAGGAUUAGAUACCCUGGUAGUCCGCACGGUAAACGAUGGAUGCCCGCUGUUGGUCUGAACAGGUCAGCGGUCAAGCGAAAGCAUUAAGCAUCCCACCUGGGGAGUAC